UGUGUUCUUCAACUAUUAUAAUGCCUCUUUGCUGACUUGGAUGGAGAAGGGAGAGAGAUGUAGGCAUGGCAUGGCAGGAAUGUACGCCUCCCUACAAAGUUAAGAGUCACCCACCCCAACCACCACAGGCACACAGCCUCCAGAAGGUGGUUCAUGAGGGAAUGUGGCAUUUUGGCUGAGAAUGUUCCAAGCUCACCCAUGUUCAAGGUGGUCAUAAAUGAACUCGGCCCACACUCCUCCUCUGGGAUUUCCAGUGGCAACGCAGAAGCGUCUCCUCUCAGUUCUUUUAAAUUAAUCUGGAAAUGGGCUGGAGUGCCCUUAUGAAUGAACAUAAACAACAGUGACAUGGGCUAGAAAUGAAACUAAUAUGUCCACUUUCUGGGAACUACUGGGCCCCACUGCUUCACACAGGAGAACCAGAGUGAAAAUGGAAAUCAAGGAAGAACACUACCUUGAGAACAUAAAACCAGGAUCAGAUUAUAAACUUAAUCCCAGGAACGUAAACCUUCAGAAAAAAAUUCCUGGAUUGAAGUUGCUUCAGUUUUGGAGAUCCGAAUCUGACCCUCUAUUUCCACCCUGCAAUCAAUAUCUUAAGGAAGCUAGUGUGACAGAAAAAUCUUGCAUCAUUAAAAGUAAUACCUCUUCAUAAAAAUAGUGAUACAUAUUGCCCGUUGUUUCUGAACAUGAAUUCAAUCAUCUUUUGAAAAAGGUAUGCCUGAGCAAACUUCCCGGAUUUUAAUUUCAAAGGCAAUAUUACAUGCUGUUUUCCACAAGUAAUAUAAGAUAUUUCCCCAAAUAAUGUUCAUGCACAUUCCCUUUCGUGACUUCUAUUAAAAAUCCAUUAGUCACCCACACACAAGUGAAUAAAAAUCCUACAGGCACCCUUAGUCUCAAGUUCAUAAAGUGGGUAGGGGGAACACUCUGAAGAUACUUAUAAAAGGAGACUUAAAAAUCAUUUGGUAUUGUUAACUACCAUGACAACAUAAAAUGAAUUAUCAUUCAUUUACAGAACCAUUUCCAAUACAUUCUUAUUGGAUUUGAAGGCACAUUCACAAUAUGAUCUGAAAUCUUGAAAU